rnacentral:lncRNA from 1 species
UUCUUUUUCACCCCUAAGAGGUACCAAUUCUAAGACAAAUUAUCUCCAGUCAUUUUUUUUUUUCGGCUCAGUACCCUGCAAGGUACCGCAAAGGCUCCCGCUGUGAAGCAUUUGAGGCUGAACACCCCAAGAGGAACUGCUUUUUAAACCCUUAAAAGGUACGACAAACACCCCCGUUCUUUUUAUAUGGGAGUUCCCCCCCGGCACUUAUCCCCUUUCUAGCACUCCACGUUGACCUUGCACCUCCAAGCCAACCGUCUUUAAUCACCUAAGUCAUGUGGCUGAAGAAGGAUCAGAAGGAUGGCCCAUAUUGAGGCAAUAAGGACACUCGUUGCCACGAAUAUGGACGACAAUUUGCGAGAAAAUGGUAGCUUGUGUCACAGCCGCCUCUCCCCGGAAAAAAACAAUCGGAGAGAGAAUUUUUUUUUCCGGGGAGAGGCGGCUGUGACACAGGCUAGGAAAUGGCAGUUCCGAGCGAGUUAUUCGUUAACUUCACACACGAAGAAUCAUUAAUGUGCAAAUUUAACCGCUGACCAACUAUUUUCUUUGUUUUGCCGCGUGAGUGAUCGAAAAGCGAACGGCGAGUCCCGCGUGAAUUAAGUUAGUUUUGCCGUGAGUUGAUUCUGUUUUGCUUUUUGGGCCACGAGAACAGAUCGCGUGACAAUCACGAUAGACCUUGAUGUAGUAUAUAUGCCACUAUCUCUAGCUGAUUUUUGUCAGCACAAGAGUGGUCCAACGAAGAGAACUGUUAGCCCAGCACUUUCAAUACAUUAUAGCCUGCGGGUAUGGUAAUUAGUCAUGAUUCACUGGAGAACUGUUCUUCAAAUAAUAUCAUUUAUGCGUACGUAAAUAUAGGCUCAGGUAACGUCUGCAUACGAGCCAAGUGGCCCAUAAGGCCGAUGCUUAUCUCCUGUUUCUGAAGCAUGAAGGGACUAGGAGUAUUUCUACUCCCCCCUAAAUGGGAUGCUAGUCCAUCGCAGGGGCCCGACAUGAAAUUCGUCGGUAUAUCCCCCUGAUUUAUACACCUGGGUGGAGAGAGGCACUGUGAGCAUUAAGUGUCCUGUCCUCCUAUAUAUAUAUAUAUGUCCUAUCCUCCUAUGUAUAUAUAUAUGAUAACUGAACAAGAGAAAUGAAAACCAGAAAGAAAGAGUUAUCUUUUUGAGUUAUUUCCGUGUACAAAUAUGGUCCCCUUCCCAACACCUUACGUGCUGUAUAAAUAACUGUAUAAUAAUAAGGAAGUUUACGGAAAAAACAGCCAAGCACACCCUCGUUAGUUCGGCGUAUACAGUUGUAUGGUAUUCGUGCGUGUAAAAAUUGUAGCCUUGUAGGAUGACCAAUGAUGACUCAAUGUUGAUGUUACUCUGUUCACCAGAGCCACCCUUCCCCUGUAGUCGGCGAAGGCUUGGUAACAAGGAAAAGGCGGCUCUAAAGACAUAUGAUUUGAUUGGCUACACUCUUUGAAAAGGCAGUCUCCUUCCCGCAAAUAUGCACAGGUUGAUUUUUACCUAAAACUGGUCGAUUGGAGCAUCUUUGAAGGAGCUCAGUCAGGCAUUUGAGUUAUUUUGGCCACGUACAAAGUCAUCUUUAAAUUGAAGCAAACCUGAAAAUAGCAGGUUACCAAAAUAGCAAGACACUGAUUAAAGAAGUAAUAUUAAGUUAAGAGGGAAAGGUGGUUUUAGAGACAAGAAUCUGUGGCUGUCUGAUUGAAUGUGACUUUGAGUUAGAAAUUUCUGGAGAUUCAUCCCAAUGAAAUGACCCAAAGGAUCCUCAUCGUUUUGAAUGGAUUGGUAAUGACUAAAAGGAAGAAAAUCGAACCAAAACAUUGUGUCUACUCUAAGAACAUAUCCGAAGGAGAACAAAUCGAGCCAGACUUAUGUAAGAGCCUAGGUACAAAAAAAAAAACAAGAAAAAAAAAGGAAAAAAAACACACACACACACACCGGUAAAACUGAUAACUGAAAUCCCUCUUUCUGUUUACGCUCACACUGUCAUAAACCAGGUCAGUUUUCACGACGCAAGUAAAAACCUACAGUGCAAAAAACACCGAUAAAACUAAUAAACUGCUGCUCUCUCUUUAUAAAAGCGCAGGUUUCAUAAGCCAAAGUACAAACAUACAGCGAUAAAACCAGUAAAAUCCCUCUUUGUCGUUGAGGUGAUUUGAUUUCCAUGAACCAAGUAAAACAACUUAAGAACUUUUUGUCCCUCCUGUGGAUUUGAACCAAUAAUUGAUCUGCACGUAGAGAGUCAAAGACAAGUAAACAGAAUUUUGCGUUUGUAACUUUGCUUGUCUUUCUUUCUCUC